AAAUAAACUCAUAUGCAAUUGCGUAUAGCUGGGGAGGAGAGAAGAGGAAGGGGGGUAAAGAGAAGAAAAGAAAUUGAAAAUCUAAAUUGUAAUGUGUGUGAAUGAGAAGAAGACAGAGUGAAAGAAUGAAGAUUGUGAGUUACAACGUGAAUGGCCUGAGACAGCGCAUAUCGCAGUUCGGGUCGCUCCGGAAUCUGCUAAAUUCAUUCGACGCCGACAUCCUUUGUUUUCAGGAGACCAAACUUCGGAGACAGGAACUUACGGCGGACUUGAUCAUGGCCGACGGUUACGAAUCCUUCUUUUCCUGCACCCGCACCUCCCAGAGGGGCCGAACUGGCUAUUCCGGCGUUAUUACGUUUUGUCGUGUAAAAUCAGCAUUUUCUAGUAAUGAAGUGGCAUUGCCACUGGCAGCAGAAGAAGGCUUUACUGGACUUCUGGAAAACUCUCAAGCUAGCAAAGAUGAAUUGCCGUUCAUGACAGAUGAUCUAAAGGAAUUUUCGAAAGAUGAGCUUAUAAGUCUUGAUAGUGAGGGGCGAUGCAUUAUCACGGAUCACACACACUUUGUUCUUUUCAAUGUGUAUGGGCCUCGAGCUGCAAAUGAUGACACGGAGAGGAUUCAAUUUAAGCAAAAAUUUUACAGCGUAUUACAGAAAAGAUGGGAGUCUCUCCUGCAUCAAGGAAGGAGAAUAUUUGUUGUUGGUGAUCUCAAUAUUGCCCCAUUUGCAAUUGAUCGAUGUGAUGCAGGACCUGAUUUUGAAAAUAAUGAAUUUAGAAAAUGGUUCAAAUCAAUGUUAAUUGAAAACGGUGGUAAAUUUUGUGAUGUCUUCAGAGCUAAACAUCCUGACAGAAGGGAAGCAUACACCUGUUGGUCGCAAAGUACAGGUGCAGAAGUAUUCAACUUUGGGAGUAGAAUUGACCAUAUUCUGUUUGCCGGUUCAUGCCUACAUGAUUCAGAUGACCUGCAAUGCCAUUGUUUUGUAAGAUGUCAUGUCAACGAAUGUGACAUUAUGACACAGUACAAGCGGUGUAAGCCUGAAAGCAUACCGAGUGCCCAUAGGUGGAAGGAAGGGCGCAGCAUUAAACUGGAAGGAUCUGAUCAUGCUCCAGUUUUUAUGUCUUUACAUGAAAUUUCUGAGGUCGCUCUGCACAGUACUCCUUCCUUAUCUGCUAGAUAUGUUCCCAUGGUUCAUGGCAUACAGCAAACUCUGGUGUCAGUGUUGAUGAAAAGGAAAGUUUCUGAACAAAUUAAAUCAUGCAAGAUGGCACAUGAAGACAUUGCAAUGCAUAGUACUUGUGAGGGAGAAGAACCAGCUAACAAAGCUGCUUCAUCUGCAACCAGUCCAAAUGAAUGUCGAUUUCUUCCAAGACAGGUUUAUGAAGGUAGCAUUUUGAAACCAAAUGAACUUUCCAGAGGUUCUUCUCAGGAGGCUGUUUCUAAAUCAGUGAAUGAAAGUGAAAAAUCAAUAAUGCACAAGUGUAAAAAACCCAACAAAAAAGCUAGAAAUAGUCAAUGGUCCCAGCUCUCACUUCGGUCAUUUUUCCAGAAAAGUACAAAUCUUGACAAUGACAUCAGUUGCUCCUCGUAUACUGAUUUCUCAAAUAGUCAGGAUGAACCUUCUCUACCCAACCCUCAGUUACAUGAAACUCCUACAGUUUCUGAUCACAGUAUCAGUCCCAGGCAAUGUUCGUUGGAUACUGAUGCAUAUGAUCAGGAUUUAGCUGGGUCAAAGGAUAGUUCCACAAAGGAAGAAAAGAGUAAUGUGGCUUCAUUAGAGUGGCAAAGAAUACAACAGUUGAUGCAGAAUAGUAUACCUAUUUGCAAGGGCCAUAAGGAACCUUGUAUUGCUCGGGUAGUGAAGAAACAAGGACCAAAUUUUGGCCGCAGAUUCUAUGUUUGUGCUCGCGCUGAGGGCCCUGCGUCUAAUCCUGAAGCAAAUUGUGGUUACUUUGGAUGGGCUUCUUCAAAGUCUAGGAAUAAAUAAUGGAAGAGAAUGGAUGAUUCCAUAAACCCUCCUCGUCCAACUUUCUUUCAUAACGACUAUGUGGAUCUAAAAUACCAGUUUUGCAUGAUUAUGAUCAUUACUGAGUUCCUUCAAGAAUGUCCACCCUCAAGACAAGUACUCUUGUAGGGUUCUCUUCUGUUGUGUAAAAUCAGCUGUUGCAACCAUAUAUGUAAAAGAGGAGAGAGCUACUGUACUGCAGAAAGUGAAUCUUGACAAAUGACAGGUUUGGCCAUUGAGCUAGAAAGGGUGAUUGAUAUCAAAGCAAUGGAUAAGCAUUAUAAAUACUUGGGUCUUCCAACAACUAUUUCAU